rnacentral:ncRNA from 21 species
CUGCGGAAGGAUCAUU